rnacentral:rRNA from 1 species
GAUGAACGCUGGCGGUCUGCUUAACACAUGCAAGUCGAACGGUCGUGGAAAUACGAUAGUGGCGGACGGGUGAGUAACGCGUAAGAACCCGCCUUCAGGACUGGAAUAACAGAGGGAAACGUCUGCUAAAACCGGAUGUGCCGAGAGGUGAAAAAUUAAUUGCCUGAAGAGGGGCUUGCGUCUGAUUAGCUAGUUGGAGUGGUAAAAGCACACCAAGGCGACGAUCAGUAACUGGUCUGAGAGGAUGAGCAGUCACACUGGGACUGAGACACGGCCCAGACUCCUACGGGAGGCAGCAGUGGGGAAUUUUCCGCAAUGGGCGAAAGCCUGACGGAGCAAGACCGCGUGAGGGAGGAAGGCCCUAGGGUUGUAAACCUCUUUUCUCUGGGAAGAAGAAUGACGGUACCAGAGGAAUAAGCCUCGGCUAACUCCGUGCCAGCCGCCGCCGUAAGAC